GUAUUUCCUGAAUGAACCAACUCUUGCAUCAUAUGUUAAAAAAAAAUUUAAUGUUAGUAUGUUAAUAGCUCUUAGAAGCUAUUGCUUCUGAAAAGAGAAGGAGAGGCUACUGCUAAGAGGUACACAAUGCAUUUAUUAUUACAGGAAGUAGAAUUGCUGAGGAAGCAAGUUGACUCACUUGCUGAGGAGAAUGGGAAAUUACUUGGUCAUCAAAACCUAAACCAGAAGAUUCAGUAUCUCGUGAGACUGAAGAAAGAUAAUGCUAAACUUACAGAGGAGACUGAAAAACUACGAGUUGAAAACGCUUUUUUGAAAGAAUCAAAAAAAUGUAACAUUUGUAGACACUAUGAUCAGCUGUGAUGACCCAAAAGAACUGCAGAGCCAUAUGUUUAAAGUGUACAGAAAAAGCAAAAGUCUGCUGUCAAAUUUGACUUUUGCUGUGGUUCUGGAAUAAUCAAGUAUUUUAGUUUGUAGACUUCUUGCUGGUAAUAACUCUAAGUGAAGAUUGUUAUUCCAGCUCUGUGGGCAGCUUUCAAUAACAUUUUUACACCUUUUUGUAUUUUUUCCAGUUUAAAAAACUGAUUUUGUAUAGGUGUUAGGUAGAUACUUCCUUGAAACUUUAGUGCCUUGCCAAGGAAAAGCUUUCUCACUGGGAACACACUUGGAUUUUUGUCUCCUUUUGUGCUUUUAUUCAGGUUCCUACCUGUUACUGUAUAAGGUUACCAUCUGGGAGAGGACACAGUAACAUGGCACUCUGUUGCACGGUGCUAGAAAGAGCUUUUUUUGAAGAAAACCAUGGCUUUAAAUAAAAGAGUUAGUGCAAAACAAAAUAGAAAAGAUUCAUUGGUCAGAGAAGGAAAGACCUCUUGUCCCAGGCUUUCUCAUGAAUCCAGCAGGUGUUUAUCUUUUGUUAUAACUCUUUCUCUUAUGUUUACAUUAGAGAAAGGUCUCUAGCUUGGGGAAAAAACCCUAGCUGAGCCUGAGAAAGUUAAACUGGAAAAAUCAUUAAGAUUUUCUCUGAGCCUGUAACAGCCACACCUACCUCUUCUGAAAUGCAACAUUUUCCAUCAGAGCCAAAAUUCAAAAAGCACAAUUCCUUUCUGUUUAUUUCUUUAAUUAAACAUAGGAUGAUUUUCCUGGGUUGCUUAAAAAUAAUUUUCAUAUUGAACUUUGUUCAAUAAAGUGUAAAUGUGAAUUUAGUAACAGGCUUGUAAAUAGUACUAUAAAUACAUUUUUGGUUUCUGUUCUUUCAUUAUUUGAAAAGAAAGUGCUUUUCAAACCUUUUUUCUGUUAGUAUAGACAGAGUAUAUGGUGCUUCUGUAGUUGCACUGUAGGAAAUUCUAAGUAUUUUGCAACCAUUUUCUUAUCAAAGAAGUGAAAAAUGUUAGUAAGUAAGAUGUGAAAAUAUGCAAAACAUUUCAGGAGUACAGCUUAAGUUCAUUUAAUCACACUUGGAAGAUUUAUUGCAAAUAAUUGAAAUGUUUGUUAGUGGAACACAAAAUGUUCAUUUCCAUAGCAGUAUCAAACUAGGUUUUUUUUAGUGCUACUAAUCCUAUCGUUCUGUUUUCUGGCUAAUUCAUACAAUACUAGUUUUGACCACAAGUGCUGGGGCAAAAGGGAAUAAAGAGGAAAGAUGUCUGGUAAAGGAUACAUUACUUGGCUGAGGGGAAGAAUAAUUUCUACCACCUUAUCUAUGAAUUUUUAAGUUGCAGAUUUGCUCCCACUUUAGAUGUGAUGUGAAGUACAGAAAUAAAAAGCUGACCUUAAAGGGAAGAGUUGUUGGGGUCAGAAGAGGUCAGAACUAGCACGGAGGAUGAGCACACAGGCCAGUGGGCUUCGUCAAGGGUGCUUUUAUUUGUGACUGCCAUUUUCUCGGUUUACAAGUGUUCCUUUCCUGUCUGUUUCUGGACUGUUUUCACGUGCUGUCCUUUUUGUGCGGUAUGUGGCCGCAGCAGGAGCAGCCCUGUCCCCUGGCCCCACGCUUUCCUGUUUGUUUCAAUAAAGCCUUCGUACCUCAGCGAACACGGCCCUCGCGCCCUUCCCGGGUGGGGCCGCCCGUGCGCGGGGCGGCGCUGGCGCGGC
rnacentral:lncRNA from 12 species